UGGGGAAUAUUGCACAAUGGGCGCAAGCCUGAUGCAGCGACGCCGCGUGGGGGAUGACGGCCUUCGGGUUGUAAACUCCUUUCGCCAGGGACGAAGCGUUUUGUGACGGUACCUGGAGAAGAAGCACCGGCUAACUACGUGCCAGCAGCCGCGGUAAUACGUAGGGUGCAAGCGUUGUCCGGAAUUACUGGGCGUAAAGAGCUCGUAGGUGGUUUGUCACGUCGUCUGUGAAAUUCCACAGCUUAACUGUGGGCGUGCAGGCGAUACGGGCUGACUUGAGUACUGUAGGGGUAACUGGAAUUCCUGGUGUAGCGGUGAAAUGCGCAGAUAUCAGGAGGAACACCGAUGGCGAAGGCAGGUUACUGGGCAGUUACUGACGCUGAGGAGCGAAAGCAUGGGUAGCAAACAGGAUUAGAUACCCUGGUAGUCCAUGCCGUAAACGGUGGGCACUAGGUGUAGGGGCCUUUUGGGGUUUCUGUGCCGUAGCUAACGCAUUAAGCGCCCCGCCUGGGGAGUACGGCCGCAAGGCUA
rnacentral:rRNA from 1 species